GCUAAUGACAGGAUGUUCCUCAUAGCUUUUUAUUUUGUGUCAUCUUAUGUUUGUACAGUGUGUUGUCACUUUGAGUUUUAAGUAUAAAACCUGCUUAGAAUAGUUCUAUCAUGAAGGGCACUUUUCAGAUUGUGGGCUGGAAAGGGUUGUUUUUAUGGUGGGGUGCUUGAAGCCUAUUUAAAGUGAGCUUGUGACGAUUAUGCACAUUACCAGAGGCUUUAAGCUGGACCACUGUGUUGUACAGGCACAGACCUGAGGCAUGUGGACAGUGCUCUGUCCCCCUAAUCGCCUGCUCACAUUACUGUUGUUUCGUUGUUAUCUCUUCCUGUCACUUUUUUUUUUAAUCCCUAAAAAAAUAUUUUCUAGAAGUUUUUUUUUAAAGACAUCAAACAUGCAAAUACUUGAACCCAGCAGGCCAAUACUGAAACGUGAACACCUCCACGUUGACAUCCGUCCUCAGAGACAGGCUCUAGGGAAUGUCUGUGUUCAUAGCCUAUGUGUGUGUGUGUGUGUGCGUGUGUGUGUGUGUGUGUGUGUGUGUGUGCAU
rnacentral:lncRNA from 1 species